UCAACAUCAGCAGCCGGCGAGGAGAGCAACAACAUCUCCGGCCAACUGACCCCGACCUCGAUCCACUGCCCAUCUCCUUUAAUUGAAGGCAACUGAGGAAGCUCAACAUCUAAAAAAGUUGAUACAAGACUAUAUUGCUUCUUUCAUCAAAGUAGGAGAUAAGG